CGUGUAGGCGGGUAGUUAAGUCAGAAGUGAAAUCCAAUAGCUCAACUAUUGAACUGCUUUUGAAACUGAUUACCUAGAAUAUGGGAGAGGUAGAUGGAAUUUCUGGUGUAGGGGUAAAAUCCGUAGAGAUCAGAAGGAAUACCGAUUGCGAUGGCGAUCUACUGGAACAUUAUUGACGCUGAGACGCGAAAGCGUGGGGAGCAAACAGGAUUAGAUACCCUGGUAGUCCACGCCCUAAACGAUGUACACUAGUUGUUGUGAGGCUCGACCUUGCAGUAAUGCAGUUAACACAUUAAGUGUACCGCCUGGGGAGUACGGUCGCAAGAUUAAAACUCAAAGGAAUAGACGGGGACCCGCACAAGCGGUGGAGCAUGUGGUUUAAUUCGACGAUACACGAAGAACCUUACCUGGACUUGACAUAGUAAGGACUUUCUAGAGAUAGAUUGGUGUCUGCUUGCAGAAACUUAUAUACAGGUGCUGCACGGCUGUCGUCAGCUCGUGUCGUGAGAUGUUGGGUUAAGUCCCGCAACGAGCGCAACCCUCGUCAUUAGUUGCUAACAGUUCGGCUGAGAACUCUAAUGAGACUGCCUACGCAAGUAGGAGGAAGGUGAGGACGACGUCAAGUCAUCAUGGCCCUUACGUCCAGGGCUACACACGUGCUACAAUGGGGUAUACAAAGAGCCGCAAUACGGUGACGUGGAGCAAAUCUCAAAAAUAUCUCCCAGUUCGGAUUGUAGUCUGCAACUCGACUACACGAAGUUGGAAUCGCUAGUAAUCGUAGAUCAGCU
rnacentral:rRNA from 1 species